rnacentral:rRNA from 1 species
CGGAGGAAAAGAAACCAACAGGGAUUGCCCUAGUAACGGCGAGUGAAGCGGCAACAGCUCAAAUUUGAAAUCUGGCCUCGGCCCGAGUUGUAAUUUGCAGAGGAAGCUUUAGGCGCGGCACCUUCUGAGUCCCCUGGAACGGGGCGCCAUAGAGGGUGAGAGCCCCGUAUAGUUGGAUGCCUAGCCUGUGUAAAGCUCCUUCGACGAGUCGAGUAGUUUGGGAAUGCUGCUCAAAAUGGGAGGUAAAUUUCUUCUAAAGCUAAAUACCGGCCAGAGACCGAUAGCGCACAAGUAGAGUGAUCGAAAGAUGAAAAGCACUUUGAAAAGAGGGUUAAAUAGCACGUGAAAUUGUUGAAAGGGAAGCGCUUGUGACCAGACUUGCGCCGGGCUGAUCAUCCGGUGUUCUCACCGGUGCACUCUGCCCGGCUCAGGCCAGCAUCGGUUCUCGCGGGGGGAUAAAGGCCCAGGGAACGUAGCUCCUCCGGGAGUGUUAUAGCCCUGGGUGUAAUGCCCUCGCGGGGACCGAGGUUCGCGC